rnacentral:lncRNA from 1 species
UCUUCAUUUUCAUUUGCCAAUAUUCUAAUACAUGGCCACCCCUUGCUGAGAGAGUGUAAAAGCCAUAUUUAAUGUUUUAAUUCCACAUGCAAAGUUGGAUAUACCUGUUGUGUUAGGCAUCUGAUGGUGUCUGCCAUAACUGUAGAUGAUGAGAAAACUUGCUACGCAGAGGUCCUUGGCAUCAUUGCAGAACCCACAAAUGUAUCUCAUAAAUGAGUCAACACUGGGAGCCUGCCAUGAAAAAAAAUAUCAAUAACCAAAACAAAACAAAAACUAUAACCAACACUUGUUAACUAGAAGGUCUUUGUUCCUUUUCUAUAAUUUUCCUAACUUCUACCUCGACUUUGAAGGUCACAGAAGAUGGAAGAGGCAGAAGAUGAAGAAAGGUGAAAGACCACAUGUCCCUUUUUCUUCCAUAACUCUAGGCAGAUGGAGACCCAGCUUUUUCUCAGUUUUUGAAAUGAAACAAGUUUCAGAUUAUCAGGAGAGCCUGAAGUGAUUCAUUUCUUUCUGUUGGAAUUAGUCUGCUUAGGGUAAGUAAAAUGUUUGAUUUAUCUGCUUUUAAAAAAAAUCUCUGAUGCUUUUUAUGUUGUCCUAUUGGUAUUAAUAAUUACUUUAAUUAUACUGCAGAAUGAUAGUGGCAUAAACUAUCAUUGGAGAUGUUGUAAGGAUUACUUCACAUAUACUACUUUUGAAGUCCAAGGACAAAACACAUUAUUUUAUGACAUUUAAGAUUGUCAAAUGUAAAACCUUUUGGGAAAUAAUAUCCAAGUUCUGCCCCUAAAUUCAUAACACUACAAUUCCAAAGAUAAAGGAAUGUACAAAAAGUAUGGAAAGAAUCAACUGAAACAUGGAAGUAUAAAUAAUCACAGGUAUUGCUUUUUUCCUUUAGUUUUGCUAAAGAUCUAAAGACCUUUCUCUAUGGAAAGUACUUGCUUAGAAAACCACGUAAUGAAAAGUUUUUUUUAGCAAGUCUGUUCUUUCUUUUUUCUUUCUUUCUUUUUUAAAAUAAGAUCUUUCAUUUAUUCAUUUGAGAGAGUGAGAAAGAGAGAGAGAGGGAGGACGAGCAGGGGGGAGGGUCAGAGGGAGAGGGAGAAGUAGAUUCCUCCUGAGCAGGGACCCAGAUAGGAUGUGGGGCUUGAUCCCGGGAUC